rnacentral:rRNA from 1 species
GUCCAUGGCUAUGUCACCUUGAAGGUGCCCAGUGGUGUCUGAUCUUGGAAGCAAAGCAGGGCUUGGUUAGUACUUGAAUGGAAGACUACCUGAGAAUUCUGGGUGCUGUAGACU